AUCAUGAGUGCGGAUCGGUCAGCCCUGCGUAAGCACCAGCUUGCUGAGGCCCUUGAGGCCGCUGCAGGGGGCUCUGGUCCCGAGAAAAGCUCAUGUGGCAAAGCAGUACCCGUACCAAAACCGACACAGGUAGAUGAGGUGAAUAACCUAAGGCGCUCGAGAUAACGGAAGUGAAGGAAUUAGGCAAAUUGACCCCGUAAGUUCGCGAUAAGGGGGCCCUACCCCUCGGGGAGGGCGCAGAGAAAAGGCUCUGGCGACUGUUUAUCAAAAACACAGCACUGUGCUAACUCGCAAGAGGACGUAUACAGUGUGACGCCUGCCCAAUGCCGGAAUGUCACGGAAGCGGGUUAGCUUCGGCGAAGCUCGUAACCUAAGCACCGGUCAAUGGCGGCCGUAACUAUGACGGUCCUAAGGUAGCGAAGUUCCUUGUCGGGUAAGUUCCGACGCGCAUGAAUGGCGUAACGACUGGAGCACUGUCUCCACUUCCGACUCGGUGAAAUAGUAGUGGCGGUGAAGAUGCCGCCUACCCGCGACAAGACGGAAAGACCCCAUGAACCUUUACUAUAGGCUUUUAUUGCACAUGAGUUUGUAUUGCGUAGGAUAGGUGGGAGGCUUUGAAGCGGCCGUUCUGGCGGUCGUGGAGCCAUCCUUGAAAUACCACCCUUUACCUAUUCGUGUGCUAACCCCGAUUCCCGUGAAGCCGGGCGGGGGACAGUGAGUGCUGGGUAGUUUGACUGGGGCGGUCUCCUCCGAAAGAGUAACGGAGGAGCGCAAAGGUUGGUUCAGCGCGGAUGGAAACCGCGUGUUGAGUGUAAGAGCACAAGCCAGCUUUACUGCGAGAGCGACGGCUCGAGCAGUCUCGAAAGAGGGCUCUAGUGAUCCUGCGAUCCCGUGUGGAAGGGUCGUAGCUCAUCGGAUAAAAGGUACUCUGGGGAUAACAGGCUGAUCGCUCCCGAGCGUCCAUAGCGGCGGAGCGGUUUGGCACCUCGAUGUCGGCUCAUCGCAUCCUGGGGCUGAAGGCGGUCCCAAGGGUUAGGCUGUUCGCCUAUUAAAGCGGUACGCGAGCUGGGUUCAGACCGGCGUGAGCCAGGUCGGUCCCUAUCUGUCGUGGGCGCUGCACAUUUGAGAGGAGUCUUCCUUAGUACGAGAGGAUUAGGAAGGACGAACCCCUGGUGAUCCAGCUGUCGCGCUAGCGGCACCGCUGGGUAGCUAAGUUCGGCAGGGAUAACCGCUGAAAGCAUCUAAGCGGGAAGCCCCCCUCAAGAUGAGAUGUGCUUGCUAUACGCGUGAGACCCCUGGAAGACCACCAGGUUGAUAGGCUGCAU
rnacentral:rRNA from 1 species